GAACUGCGAUAAGUAAUGUGAAUCGCAGAAUUCAGUGAAUCAUCGAGUCUUUGAACGCACAUUGCGCCCCCUGGCAUUCCGGGGGGCAUGCCUGUCCGAGCGUCAUUGCUGCCCUUCAAGCCCGGCUUGUGUGUUGGGUCGUCGUCCCCUCCGGGGGACGGGCCCGAAAGGCAGCGGCGGCACCGCGUCCGGUCCUCGAGCGUAUGGGGCUUUGUCACCCGCUCGAUAAGGACCGGCCGGGCGCCAGCCGGCGUCUCCAACCUUUUUUUCUCAGGUUGACCUCGGAUCAGGUAGGGAUACCCGCUGAACUUAAGC
rnacentral:misc_RNA from 1 species